UGAAACCAGAGCUUCCUCUGCCCUGGGUCAUCUCCCAAAAUGUGUCCCACUCCCUCCUUGGUCUUCCAGGGAGCUUCUGGAGUCCAGGCCCUGCUGGCUCCUCCUUGGGCCAGCCUCCCUGAAGCCACUGCCUUCAGCGAUUCACCCAGACCCUGGAUCACCAGCCCAUAGGGAAGCUGCAUGUUCAGCAACCACAGCCACUGCCCGCAUCACGGGCCUCCAAGGGCACUGACAGGUGGGCGUCGGCAUCGAAGUCGUAGCGCACGAACACCCCGAAGAGAAUCACCAUAGCCACCUGCAGGAGCAGGCAGGUGAGCGGCAGCCGCCAGCGGAGGGAAACGGGUAUCAUUGGCCUCCAAACAAGAUCAGAAGGAAUUCCCAGACCUAAGUCGUCAUCAUCAUCAUCAUCAUCAUCUGUAUCAUCAUCUGUCCUUUCUUUCUCUGAUUAUGAAAUUCACACAUGGCACAUGAAAAACAAGCAAUGUUUGGGACACUGUCACACAACAGAGCGGCCUGGGGAGACAUCUGUGAUGUGCUAACCCAGACUUCACCCUGGAACAGAAAGAGGAUGUUAAUGGGAAAACUGGUAAAAUCCAAAUAAAGCCUGAAAAUUAGUUAAUA